GCUUCCUCCCCCUACCGCACCACUCGCCCAUCUGCAGGGGAGGACCCACUGGUGGAGGGCUGCACUGCCCAUGACCUGGACUCGGUGGCCGGGGUGCUGAAGCUCUACUUCCGGAGCCUGGAGCCCCCACUUUUCCCCCCAGACCUGUUCGGCGAGCUGCUGGCUUCUUCGGAGCUGGAGGCCACGGCGGAGAGGGUGGAGCACGUGAGCCGCCUGCUGUGGCGGCUGCCCGCGCCGGUGCUGGUGGUUCUGCGCUACCUCUUCACCUUCCUCAACCACCUGGCCCAGUACAGUGAUGAGAACAUGAUGGACCCCUACAACCUGGCCGUGUGCUUCGGGCCCACGCUGCUACCGGUGCCCGCUGGGCAGGACCCGGUGGCACUGCAGGGCCGGGUGAACCAGCUGGUGCAGACGCUCAUAGUGCAGCCCGAUCGGGUCUUCCCGCCCCUGACCUCGCUGCCUGGCCCUGUCUACGAGAAGUGCAUGGCACCGCCUUCCGCCAGCUGCCUGGGGGACGCCCAGCUGGAGAUCCUGGGGGCAGACAACGAGCCGGAGCUGGAAGCUGAGAUGCCCGCACAGGAGGAUGACCUGGAGGGGGUCGUGGAGGCUGUGGCCUGCUUUGCCUACACGGGCCGCACAGCCCAGGAGCUGAGCUUCCGGCGGGGGGACGUACUGCGGCUGCACGAGAGGGCCUCGAGCGACUGGUGGCGGGGGGAGCACAAUGGCAUGCGGGGCCUCAUCCCCCACAAGUAUAUCAUGCUGCCCACGGGGACAGAGAAGCAGGUGGUGGGCGCAGGG
rnacentral:sRNA from 1 species